GUCCACGCCGUAAACGAUGAUUACUCGAUGUCGGCGAUAGACCGUCGGCGUCUUAGCGAAAGCGUUAAGUAAUCCACCUGGGGAGUACGCCCGCAAGGGUGAAACUCAAAGGAAUUGACGGGGGCCCGCACAAGCGGUGGAGCAUGUGGUUUAAUUCGAUGAUACGCGAGGAACCUUACCUAGGCUAGAAUGCGCGUGACGGUACCGGAGACGGUACCUCCCUUCGGGGCACAAAGCAAGGUGCUGCAUGGCUGUCGU
rnacentral:rRNA from 1 species